ensembl:lncRNA
AUUGGAAGGACUGAUGUUGAAGCUGAAAUUCCAGUACUUUGGCCACCUGAUGCGAAAAGCUGACUCAUUUGAAAGGACCCUGAUGCUGGGAAAGAUUGAAGGAAGGAGGAGAAGGGGACAACAGAGGGUGAGAUGGUUGGAUGGCAUCACUGACUCAAUGGACAUGAGUUUGGCAACUCAGCCUCCUGUGUUGAAGAUUUUAAUUUCCUUAGCUUCAAGAAGAACUAUUUGAGCUGAAUUCUCAAAGUCUUAAACUGGAAUGACAUCUGGAAAUCCGACAAGCAUCUUUUAACCCAGAAGGUUACUAAAGAUUGCUGUGCAGAAAUACAGGAAGUUGGGCUUUUCUGGUGGCACAACGGAUGGAAGUCUGCCUGCUGAUGCAGGGGACAUGGGUUCGAUCCUUGGUCCAGGAGGAUUCCACAAGCCAAGGAGCAACUAUGCCCAUGAGCCUUUGCUCUAGAGCCCUCGAGCCACAACUACAGGACCCAUGUGCUGGAACAUGAAGCUUAUGUGUUGCAGCUACUGAAGCCUGCAUGGCUAGAGCCUGUGCUCCACAGCAAGGGAAACCAUCACGAUGAGAAGCCCAUGCACAGCCACAAAGAGUAGCCCCCACUCACCACAGCUAGAGAAAGCCUGCACCCAGCAAUGAAGACCCAGUGCAACCAAAAAUAAAUA